AGAGUUUGAUCCUGGCUCAGAGCGAACGCUGGCGGCAGGCUUAACACAUGCAAGUCGAGCGGGCGUAGCAAUACGUCAGCGGCAGACGGGUGAGUAACGCGUGGGAACGUACCUUUUGGUUCGGAACAACACAGGGAAACUUGUGCUAAUACCGGAUAAGCCCUUACGGGGAAAGAUUUAUCGCCGAAAGAUCGGCCCGCGUCUGAUUAGCUAGUUGGUAGGGUAAUGGCCUACCAAGGCGACGAUCAGUAGCUGGUCUGAGAGGAUGAUCAGCCACAUUGGGACUGAGACACGGCCCAAACUCCUACGGGAGGCAGCAGUGGGGAAUAUUGGACAAUGGGGGCAACCCUGAUCCAGCCAUGCCGCGUGAGUGAUGAAGGCCCUAGGGUUGUAAAGCUCUUUUGUGCGGGAAGAUAA
rnacentral:rRNA from 1 species